GAGCGUAUGGCUUAGUGGUUACAGCGCUUGAACAGUUACCAAUAGGCGCGGUUUCAAAUACCGCUACGUUCA
rnacentral:tRNA from 1 species